rnacentral:rRNA from 1 species
GAUGGCUGGCAUAAGGGCGAAUGGUGGAUGCCUAGACAUCAAAAGGCGAUGAAGGACGCAGCGUAGCGGCGAUACGCCUCGGGAAGGUGCGUAGCAACCGAUGAUCCGGGGAUUUCCGAAUGGGGCAACCCAAUUGAGUAAACCUCAAUUACCUUGGCGCAAGCUAAGGUGCGAACCUAGGGAAGUAAAACAUUUCAGUACCUAGAGGAAUAAAAAACAAAAUUCGUUCUCUGUUUACAGAGAACCAUACCCUGAGUAGCGGCGAGCGAAACGGGCAUAGCCUAAACCAGAAGUUUUUCGCAAGAUUAGUUUUUGGGGUUACAAGAAUUAGACACUGGAUUUAACCGGUGGGCAGAACUCUAGUGCCCAGCGGUUAGGUCUAAGGGAAAGUUACAAAAUCGUUUGUUAGUCGAAUUUGCUGGAAAGCAAAGCCAGAGCGGGUGAUAGCCCCGUAGACGAAAACAUACGAACUUUUUAGUCUUUUUUCUUAAGUACUUCAAGGUAAGAAAGCCUUGAAGGAAGUCGCCUGUACUAUCAGGCAAGGCUAAAUACUUUUGAUGAUCGAUAGUGAACUAGUACCGUGAGGGAAAGGUGAAAAGCAGGCCGGUGAGGCCGUUGAAAUAGAACCUGAAACCAUUUGUCUACAAGGAACUAAAGUCCUUAUCUUGCGCAGCAAUGCGCGAGAUGGACAAUAGUGUGCCUAUUGAAGAAUGAUCCAACGACUUUGUGCGCGUGGCUCGGAUAAUCCGCUUAGGCGGAGGAUCCACAGGGAAACCAAGUCUUAAAAGGGCAUACUCCUUUAUUGGAGUGGUCGCGCGCAUAAGACUCGAAGCCGGAAGAGCUUGCCUUGGGCAGGAUGAACAUGGGAGAAAUCUCAUGGGAGGUCCGUACCGGUGAGUUGUGCAACACUCUCGGAUGACCUGAGGUAAGGAGUGAAAAGCUAAUCGAUUUCGGUAAUAGCUAGUUCUCUCCGAAAUAGUUUUAGGACUAGCGGCAUGAAGUACCCGGUGGGGGUAGAGCACUGGAUGAUAGGUAAUAGUCGAAAGACUGACCAAUCAAUCAAACUCCGAAUACCAUCGGCGGUAUCAUGGUAGUCAGUAUGCGGGGGCUAAGCUCCGUGUACGUGAGGGGAACAGCCCAGACCACAAGCUAAGGUCCCUAAAUUUGUGCUAAGUGUGAAAGGCAGUUUUGUACCGUUGACAGAUAGGAGGUUGGCUUAGAGGUAGCCAUCCUUUAAAGAGUGUGUAACAACUCACUAUUCGAUUGGUAUGGGGCGCCGA